AUUGAACGCUGGCGGCAGGCCUAACACAUGCAAGUCGAGCGAGCGGCGGACGGGUGAGUAAUGUCUGGGGAUCUGCCCGAUAGAGGGGGAUAACUACUGGAAACGGUGGCUAAUACCGCAUACUAUCGGAUGAACCACUAUGGGAUUAGCUAGUGGGUGGGGUAAAGGCUCACCUAGGCGACGAUCUCUAGCUGGUCUGAGAGGAUGAUCAGCCACACUGGAACUGAGACACGGCCCAGACUCCUACGGGAGGCAGCAGUGGGGAAUAUUGCACAAUGGGCGAAAGCCUGAUGCAGCCAUGCCGCGUGUAUGAAGAAGGCCUUCGGGUUGUAAAGUACUUUCAGCGGGGAGGCGUUACCCGCAGAAGAAGCACCGGCUAACUCCGUGCCAGCAGCCGCGGUAAUUC
rnacentral:rRNA from 1 species